rnacentral:lncRNA from 1 species
CAGCAUUUGCAAUGUUGGCAGAUAAGGUGUUAUGGGUAAAGACAAAAAUUAAAAAGAUUUCCAGAUAAAUUAUUUGUUUCACUAAGGCAAAACUUGGUUAAAAUUUGUUUCACUGAACACAUAUUGUAGCUGUGCUAGGGUGGGAAUGGGCCCCAUUUCCACAUAUUUCUACUAAUCUUUAUGUGGGAAAAUGUGGUUGGACAUGCCAGUGAUGAAUUUCUGAGCAACUCAUAAUUGGCUGGCUUCACUGUAACUAGGGCCUAACAAUCUGCUUGAUUAAUUCUUUAAGGACUACAUUAGCCAAGUUGCAUGAUUUCCAAAGAUAUAGAAGG